UACGUAGGGUGCGAGCGUUAAUCGGAAUUCUGGGCGUAAAGCGUGCGCAGGCGGUUCGUUGUGUCGGCGGUGAAAGCCCCGGGCUCAACCUGGGAAUGGCCGUUGAAACUGGCGAACUGGAGUGUGGCAGGAGGGGGGGUGGAAUUCCGCGUGUAGCAGUGAAAUGCGUAGAGAUGCGGAGGAACACCGAUGGCGAAGGCAGCCCCCCUGGGCUGACACUGACGCUCAGGCACGAAAAGCGUGGGGGAGCAAACAGG
rnacentral:rRNA from 1 species